rnacentral:rRNA from 1 species
CGAAUAGCUCAUUACAACAGCCGUUGUUUCUUGGAUCUCUUCUCUACUUGGAUAACUGUGGUAAUUCUAGAGCUAAUACAUGCAACAAAGCUCUGAUCGUAAGUGACGGGCGCAUUGAUUAGACCAAAACCAUCCGGCUUCGGCCGUUUGUUGGUGACUCUGAAUAACCUAGCAGAUCGCAUGGGCUUGUCCCGGCGACAAAUCUUUCAAGUGUCUGCCUUAUCAACUUUCGAUGGUAGUUUCUGUGACUACCAUGGUUGUGACGGGUAACGGAGGAUCAGGGUCUGACUCCGGAGAGGGAGCCUGAGAAACGGCUACCACUUCUAAGGAAGGCAGCAGGCGCGCAAAUUACCCAUUCUCAGAACGAGGAGGUAGUGACGAAAAAUACCAAGGUGAGGCUCAUUGAGUUUCGCCAUUGGAAUGAGAACAAUCUAAAUCUUUUAACGAGGAUCUAGUGGAGGGCAAGUCUGGUGCCAGCAGCCGCGGUAAUUCCAGCUCCGCAAGUGUAUUCCUAUACUGUUGUGGUUAAAAAGCUCGUAGUUGGAUCUGAGUGCUUAGCGCCUGGUGCAGUUCUGCUGUUACUGGGCGCGGCACAUGAUCGUCAAUCGGUUGCCAUUGUUGCCUUAACUGGUGAUGGUGGUGGACUGUUGACACGUUUACUUUGAACAAAUCAGAGUGCUCAAUACGGGCGUUUCGCUUGUAUGGUCGUGCAUGGAAUAAUAGAAUAGGACCUUGGUUCUAUUUUGUUGGUUUUCGGAAUUGAGGUAAUGAUUAAGAGGGACAGACGGGGGCAUUCGUACUCCAGCGUGAGAGGUGAAAUUCUUGGAUCGUUGGAAGACGAACUACUGCGA